rnacentral:SRP_RNA from 1 species
CUUAGGCAAUGUUAUCCUUAUGAAUCGUGUCAGGUUCGGAAGAAAGCAGCACUAAGUUUGUGGUAGCAUGUGCCUUUUAAU